UAAUCCAAAAAAAAAAACAUUACAUGAAGUAAUUCAAAAAAAAAAUAUAUAUAUAAAGUGAUCAAAGAAACAUUGCAUGAGUAAUCCAAAAAAAAAAAUUCCAUGAAGCAAUCAUAAAAAAAAAUGACUAAAAAUCUCAAUUUCUUUUUUCCAAUGAUCAUUUUUGUGUUCCUCUUUCUUGUUGUAGUCAAAGGUAUAGUCACUACAAAUUAUUUACCAGCUUACAAAUCGGGAAAAGAAUGUCUUACUAACAAAGAUUGUUAUAAAAUUCUUCCGAGGCUUAAUGGUGUCAAACGAAAGUGCUUGAUUGGUUAUUGUCGAUAUGUCCAUAUAUUCUAAAUUGUUUUUCUUUUCCCUUUCAAUAAGUGAUUUUCAUGUGAGCGGUGCUAAAUUAGACGAAACAAAUAUUAACAAACACAAGAAUGAACAUGUGUUUUUACUUUUAUGAACUUAAAUAUUAUAAUAUUAGCAUUUGGUGGAAAUCACCUCAUUGUUAGUGUGGA